rnacentral:ncRNA from 1 species
CGAUAGAGGUCGCGGAGAUCAGGAGUAGCGGCAUUAAAAGCGCGGGAACGCUGCCGUGAAAGGGUGAUCCGCCGAAGCUUAUCAGCAGACCCGGGCUGAUUUGCUGGGACGAUGUAAUAAGAUGCAUCGUACUGUCACGUAAGUGGAGCGCUAUCAU